GUUCGAGGAGUCACAAGAAGGCCAAUGCACCUGCAGUCCAGAAAGUGAAGAAGAGAGUGGUAGGAGAUGGGGGCGCGUUGAGCAGUGGUGACUCGGCACCCUGGGGGAUAAGAGGUCAUUGGUGGGUUUCUAGUGGGGGACUAACAUCAGAUCCACGUCGGCACAAGCCCCGCCUCUGCGCUCUGGGGCGGUCUGGUCCCCAAGGCCUCCCACACUCGUCACUGCUGGUCUGGGAAGAGGACACCAGUUUGCGCUUCACCACACGGUCAGCCCUCGGAGGCAGCCAGUCUCCGAGAGGCCGGGCUUUGGUCCUACCCCAGGCGGUCUCGCCCCCAGGAGACCCUCGGCAGUUUCUGGAGAUGUUUCUGGUGGUCACACUCGGGGUGAGUGUCCCUGGGGUCGGCAGUGGAGCCAGGAGGCUGCUCCGUGUGCUGCGGGCACGGCUGGCCCAGCAGGGAAGGUCCAGCUCACAGUGCACUAGCGCUGGGGCGAGAUCCUGAUCCCUCUGUCUACUCACUUCUGUUUCAGAUUUCACCUUCUUUCCCAUUUUUGUGUCUUUAGGUGCAUGCGUGUGUGUAUAUUACAUUCUACAGUCAUGUACGGCAUAUACGCCUGACUGCAUAUACAGUGACGGUCCCAUGAGAUUAAUACCACACAGCCCAGAUGUGUAGCAGGCUAUACCAUCCAGGUUUGGGAUGGGACAGAGCGUGGCAGAGACGACUGCAGCCCUGCCUCUCCCCCGUCUGCUCCCCUUCUCCCUCACCCAGGAGGAUGGAGUCCAUGGCCACAAGCCUUUGUCUUUCUCAGGCUCUGCCCAUUGGAUGAGGAGCCUGAAGCACAGCGAGCUUAAGUGACUGGCCUUGGGGCGCACAGCUAAUUACCCCAGAUUCAAACAGAGCCAAACCAUCGGUGGAAACAGCGAGGCUUUGUCUUGGCGAUUCUGUGGGGAUGCACACCCCCCGUAGCGCCGCCUUCGCCGAUGCUCAGCACACCGCAGACGCCUCAGCGCACCGAAAGAAACAUAGAAUGGGACAGCCGCCUCGACCGGUUCUGCGGAAACAAAGCCAUCAAUAUUGUUUUAAAUUUCGC
rnacentral:lncRNA from 1 species